GUUCCUCUGUCUUCACAUCUCUCACCUACUCCUUACAUUAGGCAGACCACCACACCCAUAACUUUCAAAGUUUGAACACAAAUCGUCCUUAAAACACAUGCAAAAACCUGCAAAACCAGAGAGAGAGAGAGAGAUGGUGAAGAACAUAAGUGAGGUGGGAGUGGAGAACUUUGUUCAGGCAGGGCUAGACGUUGAAGAGGCCAAGGAUUUCGAUAGAGUCCUCAAAAAUACAAUCUCCCGCACGAACACAACGGACCCAAAAGAGAUAUGGCGGCAGAUAGUGGCUGAGAGAUUGCUGAAACCAUCACACCCUCAUGAGCUGCACCAGUUGAUCUACUACUCAGUCUAUGCCAAUUGGGAUGCCUCCACCAAAGGCCCUCCUCUCUACUGGUUCCCUUCUCUACACCAGUCGCGACAAACAAACUUGGGGCGAUUGAUGGAAAAGCACGGUUCAGAGCUUUUAGGAACAUCAUAUAAGGAUCCCAUAACAAGUUAUACACUCUUCCAGGAAUUCUCUGUUGGGAAUCCCGAGGCUUACUGGUCACUUGUUCUAAAAGAGCUCUCGGUUUCAUUUCGAAAAGUCCCAAAGUGUAUUUUGGAUAGGACUGACAAAUCAAAACGCAGUGGAUCCUGGCUUCCACAUUCAGUUUUCAAUAUUGCUGAAUGUUGUUUGCUACCCACCAGCCACCCAAGAAAAGAGGAUGAUAGUUUGGCUGUUGUAUGGAGGGAUGAAGGUUGCGACGAUGAUUCUUUUGUUAAUCAUAUGACAUUAAAGGAACUUCGGGAACAAGUAAUGUUGGUGGCUAAUGCACUGGAUGCAACCUUUUCAAAGGGUGAUGCAAUUGCUAUCGACAUGCCAAUGAAUGUCAAUGCGGUUAUCAUAUAUUUAGCAAUUGUACUAGCAGGAUUCGUUGUUGUAUCAAUAGCAGACAGUUUUGCUACAAAUGAAAUUGCAACUCGUCUACGCGUGUCUAAAGCAAAGGGUGUCUUUACCCAGGAUUUCAUACUAAGGGGAGGCCGGAAGUUUCCUCUCUACAGUCGAGUUGCAGAGGCCGCUCCACAUUUAGCUAUUGUGCUUCCAGCAAUUGGGAGCAAUGUAGGCAUUCAGUUAAGAGAGCAGGAUCUAUCCUGGCAUGAUUUUCUUUCUCGUGUCGAUCACCUUCCAAGAAAGAACUACUACUCUCCAGUCUAUCAGCCAGUCGACUCCGUGACUAAUAUUCUCUUUUCAUCUGGAACCACAGGAGAUCCGAAAGCUAUUCCAUGGACACAACUUUCACCAAUUAGAUGUGCUGCUGAUUCAUGGUCUCACAAUGAUAAUCAAGUUGGGGAUGUCUUCUGCUGGCCAACAAAUUUGGGAUGGGUUAUGGGUCCAAUCUUACUCUACUCGUGCUUUCUAACUGGUUCAACUCUUGCUCUGUAUCAUGGGUCUCCUCUCAGUCGUGGCUUUGGAAAAUUUGUUCAGGAUGCCAGAGUAACUAUAUUGGGCACAGUUCCAAGCUUAGUAAAGGCUUGGAAGAGUACACAGUGUAUGAAAGGCCUAGACUGGACAAAGAUAAGAUCAUUUUGUUCCACUGGUGAAGCGUCUAGCGUUGAUGAUGACCUUUGGCUCGCUUCCCGUGCUUACUAUGGACCCAUCAUUGAAUGUUGUGGGGGCACAGAGCUUGCUUCGUCCUACAUCAUGGGAAGUCAGCUACAGCCACAAGCUUUUGGAGCAUUUAGCACAAAGUCGAUGACAACAGGCCUUGUCAUCUUUGAUGAACAUGGAAUUCCUUAUCCAGAGGAGCAAGCUUGUGUUGGGGAAGUGGGUUUGUUCCCGCAAUUAAUGGGAGCGACUGACAGGCUGCUAAAUGCUGAUCAUGAAAAAGUUUACUUCAAGGGAAUGCCGAUGUAUAAUGGAACGCAACUUAGGAGACACGGAGACAUACUGAAAAGAACUGUUGGAGGCUAUUUGAUUGUUCAAGGCAGGUCCGAUGAUACCAUGAACCUCGGUGGCAUCAAGACAAGUUCUGUUGAAAUUGAGCGCGUCUGUGACCGGGCUGAUGAAAGCAUCUUGGAGACAGCUGCAGUCAGUGUUGCACCCAAGAGUGGUGGUCCUGAACAGUUGAUUAUAUUUGUCGUAUUAAAUAAGGGAUAUAACUCCGAACCAGACGAGCUGAAGAAGAAAUUCUCAAAAGCCAUUCAAAGCAACCUUAACCCUUUGUUUAAGGUGAGCUUGGUCAAGAUUGUACCAGAAUUUCCUCGAACAGCGUCCAACAAGUUACUAAGAAGAGUUUUGAGGGACCAAGUUAAGCAUGAGCUCUCUGUUCGGAGCAGAAUGUAGCAGCGCCGAGCAGACUCGACUGUCAACCAACAGAGCCCACUUCCUUUUGUAUGGGUGAAUAGGACAAGUUUUCUGCUAGCAAUACAUUACACUCGAUGCUCACUGCUCUUAUUGCUGGCAUUGGGAACUGAAACCAUAUUGUUGCUUGCAUUGGCCAAAUUGGAUAUGGUAUGAAGUCGAAUGCUCAGGCGAAUGUUCGUUCAAAUACUUAGUCCUCCUCAACUGGCAACUCAAAGAAGCGAUAGUUGCCUCCGCAUUCUCAAGCACUUGAAUGGGCACCCCGUGAUUUACCAACUGAAAGAACCCCUACUUUUCUGCUGCCUUGCAAAUAGAAUCUGCCACUUUCCGGUCCUCCCAGUUCGACAUGUGAAUGAUAGGGAUGGGGUCUUGUAACAUUAUCAUGGUACUGAAUUCUUUCUUCAAGGGGUUGUAUAUAUUGGUAGGGAAUGCUUUUGAGGCCCAAUUCUAAGGGACCCUUUACUCCAUUACCUUUGUUUAUAACAAAGUCAGUGAUAUGUGAGAGGUUGGUGUUGGUUUUGGGGCCUAUA